GCCCUUCCAAGCAAUAGAAUUCUAUGUUAUCAUUCUCCCAAGGCAGAGUGGAGGUAUAGAGCAGCUAUGUCAGUCAGCAACUUCUGUGCCAAGAAAUGGGGAAGAGUUGCUUUAAGGCCACAAGAUCGUUAUGCAGUCAUCAGACUUCCAUGUGGGAGGUGGGUGGACUAACACAGAGCUCACUGCUGAACUACUGAACUUGGCAGCUCCCUGGCUCCUGCACAUGCAAAACAUUUGAAUUUCCUGUUGGCUCAGAGAAUUGCAGCAUCACAGAAUAGGCCAAGUUGGAAGAGACCCACAAGAAUCAUCGAGUGCAACUCCCACCCCUGCCCAGAACCAUCCCCAAGAGUCACACCAGGUGCCUGAAAGUAUUGUCCAAACAUUUCUUGAACUCUGUUGGGCUUUGUGCUGUGACCACCUCUCUGAGAAGACUUUUCCAACACCCAACCACCCUCUGGGUGAAGAACCACUUUCUAGUAUCCAACCUAAAC